ensembl:lncRNA
UCGGGUUGCCAACAUGGCGUGUGUCUGUUGUACACAGACAACUGUAGGAAUUAAUUUAGCUAGAAAACGCUAACUUGUUUAUUUUUUUUACUUGCUUAUUAAUAAAGUUUAGCUUUGGAUCCUUUUUCCCCCGUGGUGUGUGGCAAUGGUUGCCAUUGCCAAUGUGAUAUUACAUGCGACGAAAUGAACGGGAAAGCAGUGAGUGUUUAACGUUUCGUUAGCUGGGUCACUGCCCGUUUUCUAUCUAGCAUUUCUGUCUGGGUUUAGUUUUUUUGUCCUGGGUCUAAUCCUGAACUGGGUCGAAUGAAGACUGUGGGUGGUAUUGGUAACCCUGUCGAGCCCGUCAGCUGUUUCCUAGAAUGAAAGCUCUGAAGGACAACUUCUUCUACUCCAGGAUAGGAGCUGACGGGGGUGUUUGAAAUGACCGGCAUGUUCUGGUGGAGGAACAGAAGUCAUGCAGGGCCCGAGCUCGCUGCUUCUCCCUGGAAACCAACCGACGAAGGAAGGUUCUGGAGGAGAGGAGGAAGCUGUGGGACAUCCAGGAACAGAGGCUGAGGGAAAGCAUCCUACAGCAACGUAAACAGAGAGUCCAGGAUGCUACCGAACGCUUCCAGAGGGCACAUCUGCCCCCCUCACAGAGACGCAGACAAUGUCAGUCGCACAACCCAAAGUUGUGUUUCACACAGAAAAACACAAUUACUGCUUUCAGGAAGAGCACCCUUAAUAUCGAGGAGGCACUUAAUCACAUACAAGGCACCUUGACCUUGAGUUCCUAUACCAGACAAUCUCCCACCCCCGACAGGAGCUGCACUUCAUCCCCUAAGCCUCCCCUGACACCCAGCCCGUCGCUCCACCAGGGGACCCUGUCUGCCCUGGAGGCCUACAGCAAACUGAUGCAGGACAGAACCUUCAGCAMCUUCAAGAACAGGCUUCUAUUCCUCAGCCAGCUCCAGGAGACACAGCUGAGGGACAGGGACGAUCUGCAGGGGACACAGCUGAGGGAGAGAGAUGAACUGCAGGGGACACAGCCGAGGGAGAGGGAUGAGCUGCAGGACACACAGCUGGAGGGACUGGGCGACUGCAGGGGACAACGCGAGGGAGAGGGACGACUGCAAGGGACCAGCCGAGGGAGAGGCGAAAACUGCAAGGGACACACGAGGGGAGGGACGAACUGCAGGGGACACACGCUGAGGGACAGGGGCGGGACAUGGUGUUCCUCAAUGAGCUGCAGGACACACAGCUGUGGGACAAGGAGACCUGUAGCAGUCCACAGCAUCAUAAUGUGACUCAGUCAGAGAGCCUGUCCAGUCUGGAUAGCUUGGAGAUGGAGGACGGCUUAAACCACAACAACACAGUACAGAGAGUCCACAGCUCUUGGUUAGAUCACCAGAGACACCCCAAUGGUCCAUCCUCUGACUUGUCCUUUUGUCCACCAACAAAGAGUGUCCUAAGUGGUAACCUCCUAAUCCAACAGGGCAAAGUUGAUGCUAGCCCUCAGCCACCCAGACCAAGGCAGACAGAGGAGUCUGUCGAAGAUUGUAACAGCAGACUGCACCAGCUCUCUCAGGCCACCGGGUGGCAGAGUUGUACAGACCAAUCAUCAUCACAGAGUAACACUAUAACCCAGUCCCCACUCCUCAGUGUCAGUCACCACAGCCUGCUAACUCUGAGUGGGAUUAUAGACACAUCCUCAAUACGUUCAGAUAGCGGUGACCAACACUCUCAGGAGAGGGAAAGUCAUCUGAGGGGGGACCACAGAGUCUCGGGGGUCGUAGUGUGCUCCAAGGCUUCUACCCCAGACAGAACGCUGCUAGAGUUCACCUCUUGUCUGAUCCCAGAGGGAAAGUUAGAAUUUAGGCAGCAGGUGAGAGACCCGGAGGACAAGUAUUCCAAACAACCGUCGGCGACACAGGUCCUUCUGCCUGGGAAAACUUGCAGCCACAAAGACCUUCUGUGUGAAGCCCCCUCCUCAUACCCUGAUCAUAUCCUCAGUUAUAACACUAAAAGUAGCUCAGGGGUCCGAGAGGACACGGCCAACAUUCAGCCAACAAAAAGCACACAACACCAGUCACACGGGAGCAAACCCAGUGUAGAAGAUGCCAUGAACAACCUCAACAAAGGGUCCAACUCUGAGCCCAAAGCAGGGUCCGAGCCCAAAGCAAGGACCAACUCUGAGCCCAAAGCAGGGUCCAACUCUGAGCCCAAAGCAGGGUCCAACUCUGAGCCCAAAGCAGGGCCCAACCCUAAGCCCAAAGCAGGGCCCAACUCUGAGCCCAAAGCAAGGACCAACUCUGAGCCUAAAGCAAGGACCAACUCUGAGCCCAAAGCAAGGCCCAACUCUGAGCCCAAAGCAGGGUCCAACUCUGAGCCCAAACCCGAGAGGUCUAAGAACACAGACCCUCUCAGUCAGACAUUGGGUCAUUGUAAUAUCAGGUCUGACUUCCCUAAAGGCCUAAAGAGCCUGCAGGUGGAAAUAACACCAACACACCUCCCAGAUACACCUCCAUCUCCUCCACCUGUAGCUGCUGUCAGCACAGCCACAGAUCAUAAAGGCACUGAAGUCCGAUGCAUAAAGGGAAUUCUUAAAAAAGAAUCAAAAUAUGGCGUGUCGGGAGGAAACGCCUGUUCUGGUAUGUAUAACGCCAGGCAUUUAAUAUUCACCAAACAAUUCACCAUGUCCAUCAGAGAUAGUGUGGAACUGACCAGAAGGAAAGGCAAGGAUGCAGACAAGAUGAUCAAAAAGAAGAUACGCUGGUUUGACGAGGUAAAUCUGGAGGAAGAGGAGGAGAUGGAACGGAGUCCUAUAACAAACAACAAGUGUGUUUCUGAGUAUCCACUACCUCCAUAUAAACACUCAGCAUCAUCAGACCACCAACAGGGUCAGGGCCAGACGGUGGCCACCAACACCCCUCUGGCCUCCACCGGCUAUCACUUUACCAAGCAGGCCUGGGCAGAUGUCAGGGUCCAGGAGAGCAGGCUGCAGGGGCACCAGGGGAUCCAGGAGAGAGGCCAGGAGGCCAGGGAGACAAGAGUGGAAGCCAGGGAGGUCAAGGUCCAGCGGGGGAGCAGUGGGAGAACUGUGUGCCCCAGAGUCCCCAGGAGAGUGAGAUCUGCCAGGGCAGGGAUGGAUCCUGUUUCGUCCCGCUCCAGAAAAGGCACGGUCAUCAGACCCCAAUCUGCUACGGAGGCCAGCAGCCACGUGGCCUGGGUGACCCACAGGAAGGUCAUGGUGCCUCGUCCCCCGCCCCGCACUGAAACCAUGGAACCAAAAACACACACAAGAGAGACGGAUGCUGUAGUAUCAUACACCACCAAGACUCCUUACAACAUGGAUCACUCUAAUGACACCACCAAGACUCCUUACAAAAUGGAUCCCACUAAUCACACCACCAAGACUCCUUACAAAAUGGAUCACUCUAAUGACACCACCAAGACUCCUUACAAAAUGGAUCCCACUAAUCACACCACCAAGACUCCUUACAAAAUGGAUCACUCUAAUGACACCACCAAGACUCCUUACAAAAUGGAUCCCACUAAAUACACCACCAAGACUCCUUACAAAAUGGAUCCCACUAAUCACACCACCAAGACUCCUUACAACAUGGAUCACUCUAAUGACACCACCAAGACUCCUUACAACAUGGAUCCCUUUAAUGACACCACCAAGACUCCUUACGACAUGGAUCACUCUAAUGACACCACCAAGACUCCUUACAACAUGGAUCAGUCUAACUCUGCUGCUACUAAAGCAGGGAUUCCUGUAGAUGAGGCUUUGUGUAAUAAUAACACCAUGGACAGCCUCGCUUCGUCCCAGACCCGUACACAUGUCAUUAGUGCAGAUAGCAGCAUUAUUUCCAACCCAUCCAAGGCCACCCCCAUGUCAGGCCAGCAGGACGCCCAGGGAGAGGCUGCCAGAUGGGGACUUCUGUACCAUGAGAAUGGCCUCUGUCUGGACCGUACUCCCACAGACGAGGAGAUCUCCCAGCUCUGGCAUGGAGUCCGUAGUGCCUUAGCCACCAAGGACGGUGACCCUAUAACUGUCCUGCCUCAAGCACGUGCCAACCUGUCUCGCGUUACUAUCAACGGGGACUGCCUGAUCAACGGAGUUAAAGCCAUCACCACGAUGGGAGACUUCUUCCUCUCCCCAACCAAUGCCAGGAGCGUGGUGAGGAGACGACCCCAGGAGAGUCGUGGUAGUGGGGCCAGGAGGAGAGGAACAACUGGCUCAGGGAACAGAAGGCUGCCUCUACCCUCCCAGUCUCAGACCAUGGUGCUGAUAACACCAUUACACAGCAAACAUGACCUGACACGUCAACAUGAAGAGUAUGCAGAAGUGGAGGCCCACAGUGAAGGCCUGCUGGCAGACAGUGAUAUAGUGUUUGCCAAGGAGACGGUGCCAUCCCAGAGGCUAGAGCCAGGUGGAGGUCACAGCCAGCACCAGGGCCAAUCGAUCACUACCAGCCACAGCCAGGGGCACCACGCCCGGGGGCACCAGGGGCACCAAGCCCGGGGACACCAAGCCCAAGAGCAGGGCCAGGUCUCCACCAUCACCAACAUCUCCCUGGAGGAGCAGAAAGUGCUGCUGUCCCUGAAUCGACUCAAUCGUCGGCUGCAAUAUGUGCAGGCCUCAGCUGGAGGCAGCCCUGCAGAUAAAGCUUUCCUAUGUGGUGAAGCGCCCUUUACAGAGGAAGGGACGGGUGCUGCCCACCGUAAACACCGCACGGUCUCCACCGACAACCGCCCGAGAACCCAGAGGAGAUUCUGACACAACGGUCCAAUAUGGCCGCCUGAAUGUCACUCUGUCAGCUUGUGCUUCACUCCAACCUUAUACACUGCUGCAAAAAUAUCUUUAUAAUAACCCUCCCCGAGUUUCAGCACCACCACUAACUCUCUCUGCUGGGAUGAAGACUUCACAACCCAGGACUGUGAAUAAGUCCAUUAUCAAAUGACAGUACUUAUAUUGACUUAUUUACACAUUAUAGCUUCAGUCUUAUAUACAGCCAGGCUUUGCUAUUUGGUUUUGGCCUUUAAUUGAUAGAGAUUAUUUUUGUAUUGAAUAAAUAUAUUUAUUUUCCUGAAAAAUUGUGCGGU